rnacentral:lncRNA from 1 species
CGGAUGUCUCCUAGAGAGAAAGGGAUGGGAGAGUCCUCUGUGGAGUGGCUUCUGUUCCCUACAUCCCAGAGAGGCUCAGCUUUUCUGGCCGAUGGAGUGCAGUUUUAUUUGUUUGAGAAUAUGUUUUGUUUUCUUCCUUUUUCUCGUUCUUGCUUACCCUCAAAACAUGGGAAGAAAAGCUGUCUGACUCAAACAGCCAGCAGUCUGGUCCGGGCCCCCUAAGAUGGAGAGGCGCCAUUUCCCAGCAGGCCAAGAAAUGCCCCGGGAGCUCCAAGGGUUCUGUGGGUCCCGGGAUGAGAGGCUGACACAGCCAAGAAGACCCAGGGUGAGGCUGAGCGGAGGCUGAGGCGGCAUGCCUGGCCGCCCACACUGCCAUCCGUCCUAGCGCUCUGUGCAGAGCACGGCUGAAAACUCCCCAGGUAUCUUUGGAAAUGAAGAACACUGGGUUGGCACCCGGCAAUUUGGGACAGCAGCUUUUCUGGAGCGCACAGCUUGGGAAUAAGCCUGAAGAAAUCUUUCAUUCCUAGAGCGUUGGUGGAUAAAUGGUACUUAUUUGUUUAACCUCAAAUCAAGCCGCAGCCCCCAUUUCUGGGGCUGCUUUGCGAGGGUUGUUUUAAAAUAGCUGAACAAGCUGAAAAUCACGGGUCUAGGUUGCUGGAAUGGCUUUGCAGAGAGCAGCCGGGCUUAGGAAGUUCUUUAAUUUUCCAUAGAAUGUGACUGGCAGUGGUUGGGGGUUGGGGUCGGGGGUAGGGGGAGGGAGGUGAGCUGUCGGAGAGGAACAAAGCCUGGGCCCUUCUUCUAGAAGGGUCCGUAUUGGCUGAACAAUCUCUGCAGUGGAUUCAACCUGGUCUGGUCCCCUUGGGGGUUUGGGGUGGGAUGUUAUCUUGGAGGACUCCUUCCUGAGGUCUGCUGCAGGUGGCUUUGAAUUCAGCAGAGUGAAGUUCCUCGGUUAUUCCUGUCUGACUGGGGUCAAUUUCCUCUUUUAUUAACGGAACAGCUCUUUCCUCAGGAGAACCUAUUUCAUGGAUUUAGGUAGGACUGACUCGGUAGUGUACAUAACUGUUUAAUGGCCAGCUGGGGGCAGGCAGAGGGGACAGGGAGGAAAGCCUUGAUUUGUAGCAUUUGCCAAUUUCCAUGGUGUAAAUACUCCCCCACUACCAGCUUCAAGCUACAGACAUAACAUCACUGAGACGUCACUGACCUUGGACUCGGGAACAGAUGAGCACACCCAGCUCUCACAAACACAUCCCCGGUGCUGAUUUUACCCCAUCCAGGGCUGGGCACAUGACCCAAAGCUGCCCUAUGGGAGUUCCUCAGGGCCAUCAGAGGAGACUGCUCCUUUUCUUAGGCAUUGCUAAAUAGAAUGUUAGUUGGGGACUGCCAGCAGCCAUCUUGCCAGCUCUAGAGAGAGAAUUUGGUUGAGAGGGGGAGAAAGGGCACCCAUGACAUCCUCUGAACCCCUGAAGCCAGCCAUACCUGAAGCUGGUGUAUUCCUGGACUUUCCAACUACACACAUCUCUAGCCCCUCUUCUUUGCCUAAGUAGUGUGGGCUGAGUUUCUGCCACCUGCCAAUAAAAUGCCAAGAAUAAAAAAAAUGGGUCACCCAUUCAAGGAAGCCAAUCUAAUAGAUCUGGCUUUAUCUUGAUUGUGGUGGUUUCCCAGGCAUAUGCAACUGGUAACAUUCACUAAGUUGUACACUUUCCGUUACUGCAGCUUCUUGUAAGUAAAUUCUAGCUCAAUAAAACUGUUAAACAUAUAAAAAACA